rnacentral:misc_RNA from 1 species
CGAUCUUUCUGCUCGUGCUGCCCAAGGUCUUCGGCUCGGGCGGCGCCCUGACGACAUUCAGCCUGAUCGGCAUCUCGAUCAUCUUCGCGCUGUCUUACAACAUCCUGCUCGGCCAGACCGGCAUGCUGUCGUUCGGNNNNNNNUUACGGCCUCGGCGGCUUCCUGGUCAUUCACGCCAUCAACAUCAUCGGCGCCAACAAGUGG